UGUCCUCAGAGAAGGAUGGGUCUUAAAUUGUUUUGGACAUCAUUGUGACAAAUUUGGAUGUAUGUGUUUGGGGAAGGGGCUUCCCAAGUGGCUCAGUGAUAAAGAACCAGCCUGACAAUGCAGGAAAUGCAAUAGUUGCAAGUUCAAUCCCUGGGUCAGGAAGAUUACUUAGAGGAGGAAAUGGCAACCUACUCCAAUAUUCUUGAAUGGAAAAGCCCAUGAACAGAGGAGGCUGGUGGGCUACAGACCAUGGGGUUGAAAGAGUUGAACAGGACUGAGUAACUGAACAUGUAUGUCUGGGGGAAGAUGCUGUGGUGUAUUUUAAUUACACUGUGUUACAGGGUGGAGACCUAAGUUCCCAGGAUAAAUACAAAGGGCAGAAGCAGGAGACUAAAUACUAUGCAAGUUAAAAGUUUAUAGAAGAAAAAGAAAAUCCAUGUCUGAGUAGGGAUGUCAAUCGAGGGGAUAACAGAAUCAUUUAAUAGGAUUUGAAUUAAAAUAUUUCUUUCAUUCUACAAUUUUAAAGGCUCUUAAAAUUACAACAUGCUUCAUGUGUUGCAUUUCUUAUUUAAAUGAAGAAGUGGGUAAAUUUUCUCUGCAGGUUGGUGUAGGGCCUGGAAGGAAUCAUCAAGCAUUCAUGAAUGAACGGAUGAUUAACCUGAGUGAUAGGUACUCACAUGUGCGUGCCUGCGUGCUCAGCCACUUCAGUCGUGUCUGA
rnacentral:lncRNA from 1 species